GCCCCACUGUCCAGGGGCAAAGUGCCCACACUCAGAGCUACACCUGGGCCUCCCUUCUUAUUCUGGUGGGUCUUGAUAUGUUUUGACAGGUGGUCACUCCUCAUGAAGCGCUUAGGACACUCAGGGCAGGCAAAUUUCUUCUCACCUGUGUGUGUACGUUUGUGCCUCUGUAGCUCAUCCGAACGUGUGAAGCGUUUCCCACAGU
rnacentral:lncRNA from 1 species